rnacentral:rRNA from 1 species
UACGUAGGGGGCGAGCGUUGUCCGGAUUCAUUGGGCGUAAAGCGCGCGUAGGCGGCGCCGUAAGUCGGCCGUGAAAUCUCCCAGCUUAACUGGGAGGGGUCGGGCGAGACUGCGGGGCUCGAGGCGGGCAGAGGGCGGUGGAAUUCCGGGUGUAGUGGUGGAAUGCGUAGAGCUCCGGAGGAACACCAGUGGCGAAGGCGGCCGCCUGGGCCUGGCCUGACGCUGAGGCGCGAAAGCGUGGGGAGCGAUCCGG